ACGUGGUAGGGGAGCGUUCUGUAAGCCGAUGAAGGUGUGUUGAGAAGCAUGCUGGAGGUAUCAGAAGUGCGAAUGCUGACGUGAGUAACGACAAAACGGGUGAAAAACCCGUUCGCCGAAAGACCAAGGGUUCCAGUCCAACGUUAAUCGGGGCUGGGUGAGUCGACCCCUAAGGCGAGGCCGAAAGGCGUAGUCGAUGGGAAAAUGGUUAAUAUUCCAUUACUUCUGUGUAAUGCGAUGAGAGGACGGAGAAGGCUAAAUCAGCCUGGCGUUGGUUGUCCAGGUGAAAGGAUGUAGGCAUGUAUCUUAGGCAAAUCCGGGGUACUCUAUGCUGAGAUCUGAUAGCAAGCUGUACUUGUACAGCGAAGUGGUUGAUGCCAUGCUUCCAGGAAAAGUCUCUAAGCUUCAGUUACACAGGAAUCGUACCCGAAACCGACACAGGUGGUCAGGUCGAGUAGACCAAGGCGCUUGAGAGAACUCUGCUGAAGGAACUAGGCAAAAUGGUACCGUAACUUCGGGAGAAGGUACGCUGUUGUUGGUGAUGGAACUCGCUUCCUGAGCUGACGACAGCCGCAGAAACCAGGCCGCUGCAACUGUUUAUUAAAAACAUAGCACUCUGCAAACACGAAAGUGGACGUAUAGGGUGUGAUGCCUGCCCGGUGCUGGAAGGUUAAUUGAUGGGGUUAGCGUAAGCGAAGCUCUUGAUCGAAGCCCCAGUAAACGGCGGCCGUAACUAUAACGGUCCUAAGGUAGCGAAAUUCCUUGUCGGGUAAGUUCCGACCUGCACGAAUGGCAUAAUGAUGGCGGCGCUGUCUCCAGCAGAGGCUCAGUGAAAUCGAAAUCGCUGUGAAGAUGCAGUGUACCCGCGGCUAGACGGAAAGACCCCGUGAACCUUUACUGCAGCUUGACACUGAACUUUGACCUUACUUGUGUAGGAUAGGUGGGAGGCUUUGAAGCUGGAACGCUAGUUCCAGUGGAGCCGUCCUUGAAAUACCACCCUGGUAAUGUUGAGGUUCUAACUCUGUCCCGUGAUCCGGGACGAGGACCGUGUCUGGUGGGUAGUUUGACUGGGGCGGUCUCCUCCUAAAGAGUAACGGAGGAGUACGAAGGUGCGCUCAGCGUGGUCGGAAAUCACGCGUAGAGUAUAAAGGCAAAAGCGCGCUUAACUGCGAGACCCACAAGUCGAGCAGGUACGAAAGUAGGUCUUAGUGAUCCGGUGGUUCUGUAUGGAAGGGCCAUCGCUCAACGGAUAAAAGGUACUCUGGGGAUAACAGGCUGAUACCGCCCAAGAGUUCAUAUCGACGGCGGGGUUUGGCACCUCGAUGUCGGCUCAUCUCAUCCUGGGGCUGAAGCAGGUCCCAAGGGUAUGGCUGUUCGCCAUUUAAAGAGGUACGCGAGCUGGGUUUAGAACGUCGUGAGACAGUUCGGUCCCUAUCUACCGUGGGCGCUGGAAAUUUGAGAGGAUCUGCUCCUAGUACGAGAGGACCAGAGUGGACGAACCUCUGGUGUACCGGUUGUGACGCCAGUCGCAUCGCCGGGUAGCUAUGUUCGGAAGGGAUAACCGCUGAAAGCAUCUAAGCGGGAAGCCUACCUCAAGAUAAGAUUUCCCUAGGACUUUAUGUCCUCUAAAGAGCCGUUCGAGACUAGGACGUUGAUAGGUUGGAUGUGGAAGCAUAGUGAUAUGUGAAGCUGACCAAUACUAAUUGCUCGUGAGGCUUGACUA
rnacentral:rRNA from 1 species